GAUGAAGAACGUAGCGAAAUGCGAUAAGUAAUGCGAAUUGCAGAAUUUCCGUGAGUCAUCGAAUCUUUGAACGCACAUUGCGCCCACUGGUAUUCCGGUGGGCAUGCCUGUUCGAGCGUCAUUAUCCUCCCUCAAGCCCCGGCUUGGUGUUGGGCUCGCGGUGGUCGUGCUCGACCACCCGCCCCAAAGACAGUGACGGCGUCCCAGAGGGAACCCGUACAAGGAGCUUUCACGAGCAUGUACGCGGGACGACUCUGCGGGCGACGGUCUUUUUUUACCUUUUUUAAGUGUUGACCUCGGAUCAGGUAGGAAUACCCGCUGAACUUAAGCAUAUCAAUAAGCGGAGGA
rnacentral:misc_RNA from 1 species